AAUGCACCAAUUUGUAAGUCGCUCUGGAUAAGAUCGUCUGCUAAAUGAUGUAAA
rfam:Salmo salar isolate Sally breed double haploid chromosome ssa10, whole genome shotgun sequence.